GAGGGUAUAGCUCAAGUGGUAGAGCACCUGCUUAGCAUGCAUGAGGUCCUAGGUUCAAUCCCCAGUACCCCCU
rnacentral:tRNA from 1 species